rnacentral:rRNA from 1 species
AUACAGAGGGUGCAAGCGUUAAUCGGAAUUACUGGGCGUAAAGCGCGCGUAGGCGGUUUAAUCAGUCGGAUGUGAAAGCCCCGGGCUCAACCUGGGAACUGCAUUCGAUACUGUUAAGCUAGAGUAUGGUAGAGGGAAGUGGAAUUCCAGGUGUAGCGGUGAAAUGCGUAGAUAUCUGGAGGAACAUCAGUGGCGAAGGCGACUUCCUGGACCAAUACUGACGCUGAGGUGCGAAAGCGUGGGGAGCAAACAGAAUUAGAAACCCGAGUAGUCC